UACGUAGGGGGCGAGCGUUGUCCGGAUUUAUUGGGCGUAAAGGGUGCGUAGGCGGCCUUGUAAGUCAGAUGUGAAAUCUCACGGCUUAACCGUGGUAAGCAUUUGAAACUGUGAGGCUUGAGUACAGGAGAGGAGAGUGGAAUUCCUAGCGUAGCGGUGAAAUGCGUAGAUAUUAGGAGGAAUACCAGUGGCGAAGGCGACUCUCUGGACUGUAACUGACGCUGAGGCACGAAAGCGUGGGGAGCAAACAGG
rnacentral:rRNA from 1 species